UGGGGAAUAUUGCACAAUGGGCGCAAGCCUGAUGCAGCCAUGCCGCGUGUAUGAAGAAGGCCUUCGGGUUGUAAAGUACUUUCAGUCGGGAGGAAGGUGGUAAGGUUAAUAACCUUAUCAAUUGACGUUACCGACAGAAGAAGCACCGGCUAACUCCGUGCCAGCAGCCGCGGUAAUACGGAGGGUGCAAGCGUUAAUCGGAAUUACUGGGCGUAAAGCGCACGCAGGCGGUUUGUUAAGUCAGAUGUGAAAUCCCCGGGCUCAACCUGGGAACUGCAUCUGAUGCUGGCAAGCUUGAGUCUCGUAGAGGGGGGUAGAAUUCCAGGUGUAGCGGCGAAAUGCGUAGAGAUCUGGAGGAAUACCGGUGGCGAAGGCGGCCCCCUGGACGAAGACUGACGCUCAGGUGCGAAAGCGUGGGGAGCAAACAGG
rnacentral:rRNA from 1 species